rnacentral:lncRNA from 1 species
UCAAAUCUGAUGUCACACCCGGGUUUUAGAGCACCAAGACCCAGGCGCGAACAUAAUCACCAGGCGUGCUGGGACCAAGUCUCACACAUAUGAUGAAUCAUGGCACAGGAUCGAAUGUCACAACUUUUCUAUAUAAUAGGAGUUCGGUACAAAAUAAGUAAAUAAAUACAUUAUAAGGAGACAACGGUCCAGCAAUCCAAAGUUAACUGGAAGACGACAGCCUAGACCUCUCACGAACUCGUCACAACAUCCUCCAAGCACCUCAUCCUGUGGUACCUGUUCUUGACCUGUGGAGGGUGUGAGACAGCAAGAGUGAGCUCACAUACGUUCAUAACUCAACAAGUUGUGGGAAAUAAUGUGCAUGAACUCGCUAAAGGUGGGAGCUCACGUGAAGUGUAAGGCUUACCAAAGAGGAUGAUUAGAGCUGAGCAUUGCUUUUAAAGUUGGUCAAAAUUUUAUUAGCAAUUACUAAGUAUAAGUAAAUACCAACCCAAUUAAGUAGUAGAACGAAAGUAACAACAUCACCUGCGAUGCAAUGCAUAUGACAAUUUGAAUUUAGUUUCAUAAAUUAAUCAUGUGAGUGUCCGAGCUGCUCAUGACCGUGAGCAUUACUAGUAUACCAGUUUUACACUCUGCAGAGGUUGCGCAUCUUUACCCACAAGUCAUGUUACCCAUCUGCCAAGAGACGGCCAAUCUCAUACACCUCUAUCGAGGAGGCGAGGUAAGGUAACACUACGAGGCCUUUACAAAGUUCCACUAGCUUCAGAAAACCCACUACAGUUUAUAGGAAGCUCCAAUGCAGGAAUCCCUCGCCUGACCGCCAUCGCAGCAAAACCAACCUGAGGACCUCCCUACACUGACCACUCCCCUACUGCCCUUGCCCCUUUCGGGUAAGGUAGUCCUCCACUAGCUUUCCUAGUUAGUUAGCCAAGGGUGUCCCAUUCCACCCUUGUGGUAGCACUGUUUUCCCGGGUGGUUCUCCAUGUUUCAAUUAACAUAAUGAUCUUAACAUGAACAGUAAAUAACAACUGAUAAUAAAAGUAUAAUCAUGAAUAAAUGUGUAUCUCUAUACCCAAAACCACAUAAAGCAAUAGCAGGUACUACCCAAAAAUUCAGUGGUAAACAAGGUAUAAAGAUAGUCAAACUAGGGUAACCUAUUGGGUCCCAUCAAAAUUAACCUAUGUACAGAACAUGACUGGGUAAAAAGAAGUGAUCAAGGGCACAACUUGCCUGGAACUUGAGAUUCCAGGUACCAACUUGCUCUUCAGGUGACUCGUGACCUCACGCUAGUCGUAGCAAUACAAACAAAUAGUGUAUAGGCAAAAUUAACAUCACACCAAACAUAAGAACAAAAUACACAUUAAUAAUCUACAUAUUAAAAUAAGAUCUUAGGAAUAGGAAUCAUUAAUUUUGGAGUUAUGGAUUUUAAGUUAUGAAUUUCCAAAUGUUUUAUGUAUUUGAUACAAGAUUAACUAAGAAAUAAAAUUUAUUACUGUUUUCAUAUCAAAAUAGAGACACCAGGUGAUAAACAAUAAUAUUAUAAAAUUAUGAAAUUGGAAUGGAUUAAUUUGGAAUUAAAAUAAAUUAAACAUGAAUUUUCCAAGUUUCUAGAAUUAUUUUUGUAUUAAAAACUAAUUUCUAUAAUUAUUUCUCUAUUUUUAUUCCUCUCUGGACUGGGCGCCAGAUUCUAGAAAUGCCAGGGGCUUUCAGGCAAAAACCCCACAGACUCAGUUCUAACGCGCUUGUGGACUACGGGUUCUAUUUUCUAAUAACAUAAGGUCUCUUUUGAAUAAAUACCGACGCGAAGGGGUACGAGCCAUUCUGGACCGUACGAUCAUAAAUCGAUGGUCCCGAUUAAAUCACACCGAAGCGGUAUACUUUAUCCUAAUCGGAGCCACUCGAUCAAACAUGAACGACUCAGAUUUUUUUUAAAGUGCGAUUUGUCCUACACCACCAGAUCCGGUUACAACGGUUCGGAUCAUCCCAAUCGAAGGGGGUAUCAUGACUUAAUCCCUAUCGUCUGCUACUCGAUCAACGGCCAGAUCUGACGUUACCGAACCCAUCUGCACGAUCAAAUCUGAACCGUUUGGUAUGAUCCAACGAUCAAAACUCUAUCUUCCCCAACUCACCAGAAUCACGGCGGCCACCCCCGCCCGCGCGCUGAGCUCACGGCGGUGCAUGCCGGAGCUCCCGCAUAGGUGCUCUAUCCCUCAAUCCAAAAUGUUCUACACCAUUCUCAGACCAUAGCGAUUCACAGGGAAGAGGUCUCACCAGCGUUUUCGUUGUGCAGAUUCCCGCCCACGGUGAGACACGCACCCACGAUGGUCAUCAAUUCCGACGAGAAAUUGAGUCUGGCUCGGGAGAGGAUCCUUCACUGGGUGGCCACGGUAACCAUUCCCGAGCAAUGGCGAAGAACUCCCUCCGGCAAUCCAGUGGACCCGGCUGUUGGCAUCGGCGACGACGUCAGGCCUCUCCCCCUGACCCGCACCUAUAGGAAUCCUGAUGUUUAGGCGGCUAGCGAUUGUUUGAUGACCGCGACAACUUGCUUAUAUAUACACAAGCAGAGCAGCCCAAUCCCAACAACCAGCCCACAUCGCACGAAAUUUGUGUUGCAGCCAUUUGGAUUAUCGGGGUUUGCUACAAUCUGAUGGAGUUCGUUCGUUAGGGAGGAAACAGCUGUCAAGUGGGUCCCACAGAGCCAGAGACUCAGGGAGAGGACCCAAGUGUGGAGC